rnacentral:rRNA from 1 species
UACGUAGGGUGCGAGCGUUGUCCGGAAUUAUUGGGCGUAAAGAGCUCGUAGGCGGUGUGUCGCGUCGGUCGUGAAAACUUGGGGCUUAACCCUGAGCUUGCGGUCGAUACGGGCAUCACUGGAGUUCGGCAGGGGAGACUGGAAUUCCUGGUGUAGCGGUGAAAUGCGCAGAUAUCAGGAGGAACACCGGUGGCGAAGGCGGUUCUCUGGGCCUUACCUGACGCUGAGGAGCGAAAGCAUGGGGAGCAAACAGG